UACAAUGACUCUCGGCAACGGAUAUCUCGGCUCUUGCAUCGAUGAAGAACGUAGCGAAAUGCGAUACUUGGUGUGAAUUGCAGAAUCCCGUGAACCAUCGAGUCUUUGAACGCAAGUUGCGCCCCAAGCCAUUAGGUCGAAGGCACGUCUGCCUGGGUGUCACA
rnacentral:rRNA from 1 species